rnacentral:rRNA from 1 species
CCUACGGGUGACAGCAGUGGGGAAUAUUGCGCAAUGGGCGAAAGCCUGACGCAGCGACGCCGCGUGAGGGAUGAAGGUCUUCGGAUCGUAAACCUCUGUCAGCAGGGAAGAACGGUCACUGUGCUAAUCAGCAGUGAAUUGACGGUACCUGCAACGGAAGCACCGGCUAACUCCGUGCCAGCAGCCGCGGUAAUACGGAGGGUGCGAGCGUUAAUGGGAAUUACUGGGCGUAAAGCGCUCGUAGGCGGUAUGUCAAGUCAAGGGUGAAAUCCCCGCGCUCAAAGUUGGAAAUGCACUUGAAAAUGGGAAAAUGGAGGGUGUGAGAGGGUAGGUGAAUUCCAGGUGGAGGAGUGAAAUCCGGAGA